CCUGGUAAUUGUGUUGUUUUUAUGACAAAUAAGGUGUUUUUUCUAAUUUAUUGUUUUCCAGAAACCCUUUUUGCAGUCUGUCUGGAAGCAGUCAAUGCAAGUAAAUAUGUGCCACGUGCUCCCGUUGGUGUCCAACCAGGGAGUCUCACUCUGUCACCCAGGCUGGAGUGCUGUGGCAUGAUCCUGGCUCACCGCAAUCUCUGCCUCCUGGGUUGAAGCAAUUCUCCUGCCUUAGCCUCCUGAGUAGCUGGGAUUACAGGCACCUGCCACCACGUCAGCUAAAUUUUUAUAUUUUUAGUAGAGAUGGGUUUUGACCAUGUUGGCCAGGCUAGUCUUGAACUCCUCGACCUCAAGCGAUCUGCCUGCAUCAGCCUUCCGAAGAGCUAGGAUUACAGGCAUGAGCCACUGUGCCCAGCGAAUUUUAUAGUUUUAACUCUUGCAUUUAGCUCUGUCCAAUGCAGUUGGAGUACAUUUUUGCAUAUGAUAUGCAAUGCAUUCUUUUGCAUGAGGAUAUCCAGUUGUCCCAGCAUCAUUUGUUGAAAAGAUCCUUCUUUUUCCACUGAAUUAUUCUGUCACCUUUGUUGAAAACUGAUGAUAAAUGUAAAGCUUUAUUUCUGGAUUCUCAAUUCUAUUUCAUUGACCUAUGUGACUAUCUGUAUGUCAGUACUACAGUGAAUUGAUUACUAUAGGUUUUAAAUUUACUUUUUAUUCUUCUUUUUUUUGUGAGACAAAGUCUCGCUGUUUCGCCUAGGCUGGAGUGCAGAUGGCAUGGUCACAGCUCAUUGCAGCCUCUGCCUCCCAAGCUCAGGCGAUCCUCCCACAUCAGCUUCCUGAGUAGCUGGGACUACAGGUGUGUGCCACCAUGCCUGGCUAAUAUUUUUUGUUGUUUUUUGGGGUUUUUUUUUUGUAGAGAUAAAGGUCAACCUAUGUUGCCCAGGCUGGUCUCAAACUCCUGGACUCAAACAAUGCUCCCACCUUGGCCUCCCAAAGUGCUGGGUUACAGGCCUGAGCCACAGCAACUGGCCUGAUCACUGUAACUUUGGCAGCAAGUUUUGAAAUCGGGAAAUGUGAGUCCUUCAACUUUGAUCUUCUUUUCUGAGAUUGUUUUUUCUAUUCUGGGUCCCUUGUGUUUUCAUGAGAAUUUUAGGAUAAGUUUAUCAAUUUCUAUCACAGAUCAGCUGGGAUUAUGAUAGAGACUGCAUUGAAUCUAUAAAUCCAUUUGGGGAAUAUUGCCACCUUCAUAAUAUUGAAUCUUCAAACAAUGAUUUAGACCAUUCCAAUGCAUUUAUUGAGGCCUUUUAAAUUUAUUUCAGCAAUAUUUUAUAGUUUUC
rnacentral:lncRNA from 1 species